rnacentral:tRNA from 1 species
CGGGGAGUGGCGCAGCUUGGCAGCGCGUCGGCUUUGGGUGCCGAAGGCCGGGGGUUCAAAUCCCCCCUCCCCGACCA